UACGAAGGGGGCUAGCGUUGUUCGGAUUUACUGGGCGUAAAGCGCACGUAGGCGGAUUGUUAAGUUAGAGGUGAAAUCCCGGAGCUCAACUCCGGAACUGCCUUUAAUACUGGCAAUCUAGAGUCCGGAAGAGGUAAGUGGAACUCCUAGUGUAGAGGUGGAAUUCGUAGAUAUUAGGAGGAACACCAGUGGCGAAGGCAGCUUACUGGUCCGACACUGACGCUGAGGUGCGAAAGCGUGGGGAGCAAACAAG
rnacentral:rRNA from 1 species